rnacentral:tRNA from 1 species
GUGGUUGUAGCUCAGUCGGUAGAGCUCUGGAUUGUGAUUCCAGCGGUCGUGGGUUCGAUCCCCAUCAACCACCCCA